UAUUUUAGCAAUAGAAUAUGAGAGUGACGUACGGGUGCGUAACACGUAUGCAACCUACCCUUUACAGGCGGAUAGCUCGGGGAAACUCGAAUUAACCCGUCAUAAGAUCAUAGAGUGGCAUCACUUAGUGAUUAAAAUUACGGUGGUAAAGGAUGGGCAUGCGUCUGAUUAGUUAGUUGGCGGUGUAAUGGACCACCAAGACGAUGAUCAGUAGGGGAACUGAGAGGUUGAUCCCCCACACUGGCACUGAGAUACGGGCCAGACUCCUACGGGAGGCAGCAGUAGGGAAUAUUGGUCAAUGGAUGGAAGUCUGAACCAGCCAUGCCGCGUGCAGGAAGAAGGCCUUCUGGG
rnacentral:rRNA from 1 species